CAGGACCUCAGUAUAACAGCUACCUAUUCUACUUGAGACGUAAAAGAGCUAGACCAUUCAGACAUCAACAACGAAAGUUGUACUCAUCCUGUUGCUACUCUCCGUGUGCGGUGCCAAUCAGGCAUCGGCCCAAAGGCCUACACCUACCUGCAACCGCUUCGGAAUGACGUAUAAUGUAGGCGAUGUAGUUCCCUACGCCCCUUUCUUUAAAUGCACUUGUCAAUAUCAUUGGCGAUUACAUUUAUCAUGUGUUCAGUGUUCAACCUAUAACUGUGAUUAGUGGAUGAGUUACCUGCUACUGAUGAGUUAUAAAAGUAUGCCUAAUAAAGGAUUUAUAUACCCUA